UAUUUAUCAUAAAUAUUUUUCCUUUUUAUAAAUAUUUUAUAAAUUUUUGUGCUAUUUGAGAUAUGUAUAUAAUAGAUCUGUCUAUUAAUUGAGACAUUUGGAUAAUAAAAGCAAAUAUGUUCAAAAAGAGCUAAAAAUAUCUUUAUAUAAAAAUCAUGUGUAAAUUUGUAAAUUUGUGAAGUAAGUGAGCGAAGGCAAGGUCCAUAAAUAGACGAAGACGCAAAAUGAGAUCUUCUCAUCCACUUCAAAUAAUUUAAAUUAAAUUCGGCGACAUAGCUGUUCAAAAAUUAUAAUUCGUACGUCCGCACGUAUUAAUAAAUAUAGUUACGACCACGUUACGACGUGCACUAAUGCAAACUCACUGAAUCAAAAAUAGCGAUCGUGAAAAGACUUUAUCUUACGCCUUGGUCUACCUACGGACUUUAAAAUAAGGAUCUGUCAACUCUAUGAGAGACUAUGACUGCGUUCAAAAGCAGCUUUGCAACUGUCGGAAAAUUUUUUAAGACAAUUGGUUCUUGUGCCUUUAGUUCCUAUCAGAUCUAAAUGUGUAUAUCAAUCAUAAAAGAGUUUUAUAACAGUUCCAAAGCUGUUUUUUCUGCUGAAUGCAGCCAUUAUGUUCAAAAGAUAUAAUCUAACCUAAACUCAUUUUUUAAUCCUGAUUAACCCCAUCGGAAUUUCUGAUUUAAAACUAAAAUUAAGUUUGGAUUAGAUUACAUCUUUUAGCUCUUCAUAAAUCAAAACAUUUUUCCGCCCAUACAUAUUUUUUAAAUUUUUUUCUGAAAAAUGUGAUCUUUUAACACUUAAAUUGUUAUAAACAAUCACUAAGAAACAAUUGGGUGAAAAAAAACUUUAAAAACAGAUAAACUAAGUAUUUCUGUACAAGAAAAAUGAAGCAUUAUCAUUAGAAUCCCGAAACAAUUUUUAUAAUAUAAAAAUAAAAGAAAAACAAGUGGGAGAUAAUAUGAUAUGUCCAUGUAAAUACCCCCAUUUAUACAUAUAGGAGUUGAGGAGGAGGACAAAGUGGCAGCCAGUAGUAGACAAGUGGAACUUUUUGCGGACUUUUUUGGUGAGAAUGAGGGGAAUAAGUGACCGAAGACAUUAGUUAGGUAGAUUGAGAGAAAGCACGAAGUGAAAAAAAAGCCGGACAUUGGAGGAAAGGAGAAGAGAGAUUUCAUGCUGACGCUCGACGCUCUUUUUCAGCGUCAAGAUAGAUCACGUGAUCAAAGUUGACACUGGAUAGCGAAAAGCGCAUGAAAAGGAGUGUAGCGUGAAAUUUUAUUCAUAUAUUUAGUAGUAUAUAUAUAGUGUAUGUGUAUAUUAAAUACGUCAUUCCGAAAUAAAUACCAUACCCCGAUAGUAAAAUAUUUAUAAAAUUGUAUGACAAAAGAAUUGUAAAAGAUUUAUAAUCCGUCAUUAUGAGGGCAUAGUUGAGAAAAUAGAUGUAGAAACAUUAACCUUUUAUAAAACAUUAAUGAAUGUUUGCGCUAUUAAACUUGAAAUGAUAUGUUGUCAUAACAAUAGCAAUAUGGCGAAUCAUCUUAACAACACAUUUGCAAUUAAAUUUAGAAAUAAAUUGUGCAAUAAUUGAGAAAAAUAUUUCAGUCGUAACAUGUUUAAAAUAUUUAGAAACGUAAUUGUGCACAAAAGACUCAAAUUAUGCCCCAAUUAUUCCUAAAUUAUGAUGCACAAAUAUUGAAACAUGGAAUGUGUAAUAUUUGCAUUAUAAUAUUACACAGUGUAACAUUGCAUUAUAAUAUAGGAAUGAUUUAAGAGUUUCUGUCUGCUAUUACUAUCAAUGAGAUAUUUAACUCUCCAACGGACGCAACUAAUGUCAGACAAGGUGCCUCUUUUUUAAUCUUUGUUAAAUAUGUCUAGUGAAUAAGCGAUAUUUGUUAAAUUCAUUGUAAUACCUUUUGAUAUUAAUUUUGAAUUAAAUAUUGAAGAUUAAAUGUUGUAAAUAUUGCACAUUAUUAUUGUUGCAUUAUUGCUGCGUUAUAUUGUGAAAACAUUGAAGAUUAUAAUGUAAUAAUUUUAAAUGCUGAAAUAAUUGCAAAAUAUUUAUGUUUCAAUAUUUGUCUAAUCUUUAACAAAUAUUAUUUAAGAAUUAUAUUCUGACAAAACUGUUAUUAUGGCGAAUCAUCUUAGUACAAUCUUUAAUGCCAUUAUUGUGCAAUGUUUGCAAAAUCUUCCUAUCGGGGUACUUGUUUAAGUGAGUGUACUAUAAAAUUAUAUGAAAGGGAUAAACAACGUAAAGCAGCUUUAGCUGCAAUAUAUAUUUAUAAACUACAAAAACGGAAAAAUUAUCGUAAAAAACGAUAUUGGAUAGAGCUAAUAUUCUAAGAACGCGAUACGCAUGGAUUUUAUCAUGCCAUAUUUCCCGUCAUCGUAUUGGAAGAAAGUAGAUUUAGAAAUCAUUUUCGUAUGUCUUCUACCCAAUUUGAAAAUUUAUUAUAACAUUGCUCGACGCUGCUUGACGCUUGAAGUUGGUAUGAUUCAACUUCUUCCUCUUGACGCUAGCGUCAAAGUGACGUCAUGUGAUGACGCUCAACGCUGGCUUUCAGCGUCUCAUGAAUUUGCACCUUUAAGAGUAAGAAAAAAAUCGGAGUAAGGCACAAAAGGAGAGAUGGCGACAGGAAGAAUUGUCAUGAAGAUGUGGACCAAGCGGUUUACAGAGAGAUGGCCAGGAGACAAGAAAGAACAGGACAGAAACGAAGAGAAGAGAGUGAGUCGGAGGAGGGCAAUAAAUGGCAGUAGGCGGCUGAGUGAAGGAAAUCGAGUGAUCGAUGCGUCGAGAUGGAGCAGAGCGCAUGGACAAGAGAAGAGAGGGACCGUAUCGAGAUGGAGCCGUGCAGAAGAAGAGAGAAACACCAAUGGACGGCAGAUGGAUAAGCGAAGGAAAGAUACGGAUAGAUAGCGAUAAACAGGCAAAGAGAAAUUAUUGUAACCGCAUGCAACGGCUGAAUCAUACACGACUACAUGACGGUGGAGGGAGAAAAGAGGGGGAAAUUUUUCAACAAAAUCGUUGUAAUAAAAUUGGUAUAAGAAUCACAAAAGAUGUA